GGAUAGCUCACUCGGCAGCGCAUGAGACUCGUAAUCUCAGGAUCGUGGGUUUGAGCCCCAUGUUAGGCA